UACUGGACUAUUCUGCCAUCAAUCUUAUCGCUUUUCUCUAAAUUAACCCCUGCCUGUCUCAGUAUAACGCAACUUUCUACUGAUAAACUGCGAACGCCUCACUAUAUCAUCUAUAGUUUAUUUGAUGGUUUUUGCUACAUGGAUAACUGUGGUACUUCUAGAGCUAAUAACUGCAUUCUACCCCCAACUUCUGGAAGGGAUGUAUUUAUUAGAUGAAACUCCCCUUUGUUGACGAAUCAUAAUAACAUCUCCCACCCCUUGCCCACAUGCUGGCACUGCUUCAUUCCAUAUCUGCCCUAUCAACUGUCCAUGGAACAUAUAAAGGCCUACCAUGCCUGCUACUGCCAACGACUAAUAAUGGUUCGAUUCCAGAGAGCCCAUCCUAGAAAACGGCCUACCACCUCUCAACAAUGCAGCUAGCUCGCAAAUUACCCUCUCCCUCCACAUCGAAGUAGUGACAAUAUGUCACUCUAUCCAGUCUUAUCCGUCAUACACCUGCAAUGAUUACAACUUAAAUCACUUAUCGAUCAACCAUUCCAUCCCAUGUCUGGAGCCGGCGACCUCCCCCAUUCCAACUCCAAUAACGCAUCUUACUCCUCUCCCGGUUAAGAACCUCCUACUUUUACCUUGAACCUGAACCUUGCGACCAUCUCACCGCCAGAACUGACUUGCUGUGAUCUUUCGUCAUUGUGACCAUCUGUUCUCACAGAUAAGCAUCCACCGAUCCCUACUCUGAAAUAAUUUACAGUGUACGACUACAAGCUCUAUCUCAUCAAUAUCUUAUCCCGGAAUCAUCGUACUAUGACGAGCGAGUCUAUCUUGGCGAAUGCUGUACUCGACGUAAUGACUAAUANGAAUCCGACAGUUGCAUCUCUACUCUGCUGCUACUAGUGCACCUCACUGAUCUUAGUAAAGCNUUACGCUAUGACAGCAUUCGACAAAGAGAUCUCAUCAUCCAGUACGUAAGUCAGGCUACUAAAUACAUAGCUACCGUGCUUGCAUACUCUAUUCUUGCCACUAGGUUCUGUUACCUGCUCCUUUUCAUCGAUCGCACAUGGAAGACACCAAGUAUUUGGUCCCGGGGGAGAAAGCCC
rnacentral:rRNA from 1 species